rnacentral:rRNA from 1 species
GAUGAACGCUGGCGGCGUGCCUAAUACAUGCAAGUCGAGCGAAUGGAUUAAGAGCUUGCUCUUAUGAAGUUAGCGGCGGACGGGUGAGUAACACGUGGGUAACCUGCCCAUAAGACUGGGAUAACUACGGGAAACCGGGGCUAAUACCGGAUACCAUUUUGAACCGCAUGGUUCGAAAUUGAAAGGCGGCUUCGGCUGUUACUUAUGGAUGGAGCCGCGUCGCAAUAGCUAGUUGGUUAGGUAACGGCUCACCAAGGCAACGAUGCGUAGCCGACCUGAGAGGGUGAUCGGCCACCCUGGGACUGAGACACGGCCCAGACUCCUACGGGAGGCAGCAGUAGGGAAUCUUCCGCAAUGGACGAAAGUCUGACGGAGCAACGCCGCGUGAGUGAUGAAGGCUUUCGGGUCGUAAAACUCUGUUGCUAGGGAAGAACAAGUGCUAGUUGAAUAAGCUGGCACCUUGACGGUACCUAACCAGAAAGCCACGGCUAACUACGUGCCAGCAGCCGCAGUAA